GCCUGUUUUAGGCCACAAGGCCUGUGAAUCACAAUGGUAAAGUUGCAUGUACAAAUUUCUUAAUUUUUAAUCAAAACAAAGUCCAAUCAGACUGUGUGAUACAUCAUUGUAAAGCUUGUGUUUUGCAGUUUCACAUGAACAAUUCAAUUUUAUUUUUUAUUUAUAUAGCGCUUUUCACAAAAGUCAAUUGUUUCAAAGCAGCUUUACAUAAAUAGAAGCAGUGAAAAGCACAGAAAACGACAGAUAGCACAACAAAAUACAUGAAAGCAUGAGCAGUUAAAUUUGCUGCGGCUAUGACUCAAUAAUAUAAUUGCACGUAUUACUAAAGCAACGUAUAGAAGAGGAAGCUAGGUAAAGCCCAAAAAGGCUGCCUCCCCGGGGUGAAAAACCCCCUAGGAGAAAAAAAAACCCGUGCUUUUAUCCGAGGAAAAAUAAGUCCUAGGAGGGAAAAACCCUUGGGAGAACGGAAAUGGAGAUUUAGCGGAGAUUAAGCGGUUCUGCCGGUGAUCGUUGGUCAGGUAUCAGCUGGGCAUAACGUUGAAGGACAGCCAGUAGAUCAGAGGUGUGCCGACUUUCACAUCUACCGGGACUGGGUCUGUUUGUCUCGUCCUCGGGUCGAGGACGAGACAGGGAGAGAAAAACAAAAUCGUAUUAGCGUAGCGGCCGUUCAUAUGUAUUGAAGUGUCACACAGUGAUGUGGUUUAACUCAGCUUAGUUCCAGACAGACUAAAUAUUGCGGCAUAAUUAUGUUAUCCACAGUUGAGGAUUUAGCAAAUUGGGGGCCCAAUGCGAGGGUAUAUAUGGUAAAUAAGGGUCACCUUCCGAUCUUUAAGAGAAAAUGAAACCUGACGACCCGUUUGACUAAGGCCUAAAGCCCCACUGUCGUCGUUAAUACAGGUUCAGUGGCAAACGGGUCUAUAUUGUAUACCAUUUACAGGACCAGGAGAAAACGCCAAAAACAUCGCAACCCGACCAUACGUGUUAACCCGUUUGACUAAGGCCGGAAGCCCCACUGUCGUCGUUAAUGCAUGUUCAGUGGCAAACGGGUCUGUAUGGCAUACUAUUCACAAGACACACGAAAGCGCGAAAAACGCAACCCGACCAUACAUACCAACCCGUUUGACUAAGGCUGGAGGCCCCACUGUCGUCGUUAAUGCAGGUUCAGUGGCAAACGGGUCUGUAUGGCAUACUAUUCAUAAGACUUACGAUAGCGCCAAA